rnacentral:rRNA from 1 species
GAGUGAAAAAGGCCUUAGGGUCGUAAAGCUCUUUCGCCAGAGAUGAUAAUGACAGUAUCUGGUAAAGAAACCCCGGCUAACUCCGUGCCAGCAGCCGCGGUAAUACGGAGGGGGUUAGCGUUGUUCGGAAUUACUGGGCGUAAAGCGCGCGUAGGCGGAUUGGAAAGUUGGGGGUGAAAUCCCAGGGCUCAACCCUGGAACUGCCUCCAAAACUAUCAGUCUAGAGUUCGAGAGAGGUGAGUGGAAUUCCGAGUGUAGAGGUGAAAUUCGUAGAUAUUCGGAGGAACACCAGUGGCGAAGGCGGCUCACUGGCUCGAUACUGACGCUGAGGUGCGAAAGUGUGGGGAGCAAACAGGAUUAGAUACCCUGGUAGUCCACACCGUAAACGAUGAAUGCCAGACGUCGGGGGGCUUGCCCUUCGGUGUCACACCUAACGGAUUAAGCAUUCCGCCUGGGGAGUACGGUCGCAAGAUUAAAACUCAAAUGAAAUUGACGGA